rnacentral:rRNA from 1 species
GAUGAACGCUAGCGGCAGGCCUAACACAUGCAAGUCGAGGGAGAAGCCCUUCGGGGCAGAAACCGGCGCACGGGUGCGUAACGCGUAUGCAACCUACCUUUCACAGGGGGAUAGCCCGAAGAAAUUUGGAUUAAUACCCCAUAAUAUUAUUGGGUGGCAUCAUUUGAUAAUUAAAAUUACGAUGGUGAAAGAUGGGCAUGCGUCCUAUUAGCUAGUUGGAGUGGUAACGGCACCCCAAGGCUACGAUAGGUAGGGGUCCUGAGAGGGAGAUCCCCCACACUGGUACUGAGACAGGGACCAGACUCCUACGGGAGGCAGCAGUGAGGAAUAUUGGUCAAUGGUCGGAAGACUGAACCAGCCAUGCCGCGUGCAGGAAGAAUGCCUUAUGGGUUGUAAACUGCUUUUAUAUGGGAAGAAUAAGGAGUACGUGUACUUUGAUGACGGUACCAUAUGAAUAAGC